ACCCGAGCUGAAGGCAGAUGCUUAACCGGCUGAGCCACCCAGGAGCCCCUGCUUUAUUUAUUUAUUUUUUUGUUCGUAAGAUUCUCUUAAAGCAGUAGGUCCCAACUCUGGCUGACAUUAGAUUUGCUGGAGAACUUUAAAAAAAAGAAAAAGAUGGCCUGCAGAGAUUCUGACUUAAUUGAGUAGGGAUGGAGCCCUGGCAUUGAUACUUUAAAAAACUCCCCAGUGUUAAGAAAUGAGUUUAGAGAGUUGAGAAGUAGGUGUAUCAAGUAACACAGAAUUUACUGAGUUUUGUUAGUCUAAUAAUAAAUAGAGUCAUAAUAGUCUCUAGUUGUUUUUCUUAAAUUUGCAUUUAACGUGGGAUUUGAUGCCACAGUCUAGUAAUAAGCUUUUUCAGGCAUUGAAAUUGCCUUGUAGAAAUUUAGAAGGUGUGGCUGUGAAUUGUUACUUAAAUUUAUAAGUUCUAAAGAAGCAUAUAAUGUCAUAUACUUGAUUGAAGUGUUGUGUUGUAGCAUGAAGGACAUUUAAAUAAAGCAAGGUCCUAAUCCAGAUGUUAAUUUUAUAUUUAACAUGUCCCCAUUUGUUUUGUAAGCCCCUUCCGCCAGUAAUUCUGGGAUAACAAGUCCCAAAGCUUCAAUAGUUGACUAAAUUUAUCUUAAGUAAUCUCAUGUCACAAUUGAAAGCAGAAGUCUGUUUCCAGCAUCUAUAUGAAUUUCAACAGAUUUAUGAAGCAGUGUGCUUAAUGUAAGUAGGUAUACACAAAUAGGAAAACAGUGGGCCUAAUUUUCUUAAAACUUGAAGUCAGUGCAUUGAUUCUUAGCAAAAGCUGUACGUGGUUGAGAAUCUGCCUGUAAUGCAGUGUUACUGAUGAAAGUACAUUGCGUGUGUAAAUCCUCUUGGCUCACCUGUCAAAGAUAUUUUCAGAGUCUGACCAGUUCUCAUCCCCUCUGCUGUUAAUAAUCUAGUUGACGCCACCAUGGGCUAUCACCUAGAAUAGCACUGCGUAACUCCUCCGUGCUUCCACACUUGCCCUACUGCACUCUGUUCUCAACACAGCAGUGUUACCCUUUUUGUAAGAGAAUGCUUUGUGUACCACUGUAUGAUAAGUUGUAAAGUCUCACAGAAAUGGGGUAUGAGAGCAAUCUAGCUGUGACAUGCAAUUUCCAGGCUGCCGUAGAAAGUUCUAUUAUGUAACCUCCAAAGGGGUGUGUGUGUGUGUGUGUGUGUGUGUGUGUGUGUGUGUAUUUGGGUUUUGCAGAAGAAAAAGAAUUUUCUUCUAAUAAGAGUGCAUAUAGCUGCACUUUUAAUAAAACUUCUGAAAUCCCAUUUCUAGAAAAAUUUAAUACGGUGAAGCAUUCAUUGAAAUGGAUGCUUUUCUAGAAAUACAUAAAAUUUUUAGAAAUUAUCGAAAAUGAAGCUGAUACCCUUAGUAUACUUACAAUCAAGAAACUUGGAUUAGUAAAAAAUUACCUCUGCAGAAGUUUCCACAAACUCAAUAUACAUUCUGCCAAAUUUCAAAGAUUAGGUAAUUUCUCUUUAAACUGUUUCAGAAUAUAGGAAAUGAAAAGACAAAAAAGGAGACCUCAUAACUCAUUGUUCAAAGUUCUAUCCCUGCUGCCCAAACCUGGAGAGAAUACUACCAAAAGCAAAAUAACAAAACCACUGGAACAUAUUCUCACAAAGUUAUAAAAUCCACUCUAAAAUAUUAGUAAAUCCGGCAAUAUAUUAAAAGAAUAAUGCAUUCUUGUGUACACAUGGAAGUUACAGAGGUUGAAAGAGAAAAGCUUACCUUGAAGAUGUAUUUAACACAAUCCACAAUAACUUUUUAAAUGUAGGUAAUGUAGAGAAGGAAACUAUUCACUCGAUGUCGUGUGUUUAGUAGAGAACCUUCAGAAUCAUGGUUUUGAAUGAGGAAAUAUUGGAGCACAGUAACAUCCUUCCAAGAUGCUGUAGGUUGGGUUGCAUAAAAAUGUGGAGCUGUGAGGUUAAUGCAGUAACUAGGGUGAAAUUCAGGGUGGGAAGCAGUUAUCAGUUGAAUGACACUGGAAUUCAUGUGAUUGUUUCUCUAUAUUCUCAUUAAGGUCUGCAACAAGUCAAGAAUGUCAGCUACACUUCAGUUCUACAACAGUGUUCUCUGGGGCUUAGCAAAUGAGAUACAGAUAUUGGGAAUGGAAGCAACAGAACAUUAUUUACAAGGCAUACUCCACUGACAGAGGUGUCACUGCACAUCUGUUGGAAAAAACAGAAGCAGUGCUACCCCAGCAGCAAUGAGCACACCUAGCACCCAGAUCUUUGUUCCUAAAUACCAUUCUCCAAUAAACGGAACCAGUGCUCCUUAAAGAAAUGGCUGAUUCGAGGCUUGGGCAGGGAAGAUAUGAGUACAGAACAUCACUAGGACCAGAAGAAGAGGACAAUAGGAGCCUGCACCUGGCCUCUCCAGACCCCUGCUAUGAAUCAUACACUGUGAUGUAUAUUCUGACUUUUGUGCUGUUGCUAUAGCAUGUCCUUUCCCUAUAAUAAACUGUACAUUUGUAAGCCAUGUCA